rnacentral:rRNA from 1 species
UACAGAGGAGCCAAGCGUUGUCCGGAUUGACUGGGCGUAAAGCGCACGCAGGCGGUCUGGCGCGUGGGGUGUGAAAUCUCCGGGCUUAACUCGGAAAGGUCAAGUGAUACUGUCGGGCUAGAGUGCAGAAGGGGCAACUGGAAUUCUCGGUGUAGCGGUGAAAUGCGUAGAUAUCGAGAGGAACACCUGCGGCGAAGGCGGGUUGCUGGGCUGACACUGACGCUGAGGCGCGAAAGCCAGGGGAGCGAACGGG